rnacentral:rRNA from 1 species
AUGUAUAUUGUCUCCAUGGUAUCUCUUUCUUUCUGUUGUAAUGGACCGCGGCGUCCGGGUCGGCCUCCUCGUUCCCGGGGGGCUGUGGUCGGCCGGCGCGGUGGUUGGGGCCGUUCUGCUGUAUCGCCCUUGUGUCGGCUCGGCCCGUAUGUAUGGAGCAUGCUCCGGCGUUUGAUGAUCAUGCAUGCAGUCUGUUGCCGGCUCAUGGGAUGCCAGAGCGAGCGCCCCGGCAAGCGGCGCCACUCGUGCGACAACGGUUGCGCCUCCGUCCGGUGCUACCCGAUGGACGGCGGCGUCUGCUCCGCCGGGUCCAGUACGUCUAUAACCAGCACGGCUGCCAGAGCUGCGUAG